GUUGGUGUAGCUCCAUGGUAGAGUGCAUGCUUUAUACCGUAUGUAUAAUGUCCUGGGUUCAAUCCCCUGCUUCUCCC